GCACUUUUCGGUGAUUGGUCAGAAAUUCCAGGCAUUCACUCUUUUUCCAGGUUGGUGCACCUUUGGAAGGAAAGGAAGACUGAACGGGUUUCUUUUGGUAGUCUUCAAGUUCAUGGGCAAUGAACUUAAUCAUAGUUCAAAGUUCAGUCAGGAAUCCUAGAGGAAGACAACCCAAGAGGAGAGGAGCUCGAGGCUGAGCAAACAGCUUUCAGUCCUCCAAUGUUUCCCCAUAACAGUGGUACUGGAAUUGAGACCAAGCGGCCAAUCCAAAGCUGUCAGCAAGUUUCCAUGGCUGAGGGUUGAGCAGAACCUAUCCUUAACACCCUGACCACUAUGCCACACUGGAAACUAUAGGGAUGGCCAGGAGCUCUGUGUGGACUGCAAGUAACGAGGCCCGUGAUUGGCGCGUUCUCCUGCUUCUCUUCCCUUCCCUUCCCUCCUGGGCCAGGACACAAGGGCCAACAGCUUUCCUUCUGGUGGGUGCGUCAUCUGAGGACUGGCAGAAGAAGCAACGAGGGUUUUACCGUUCUUUCUGCCACUUGAACUGGAAGGGGAAACUGGACAGAACUCUUGUCAAGUUCACUCAGUCAAAAGACAAAAACAAAGAAUGGGCCAGUUCCAUGGUUGAGGCUGUCAAAAGAAAAAUGAAGAAAUGGCCACACCUCACCAUUCCACUACUGAACCAGUAAAAGCCAAACAAACAAACACAGAAAUCAAAGGUCCAGCCUUUCAUGGUAGGCAAUGCAGUGGCCCAGGAUGAAAUGGCCACUGAAGGCAGAGAAUGGGAAUGAGGAAUA